GGGGGUUAAGGUUGAUGAUUCUUUCUGUUAAAUUAGGCUCUGUUUUGAUUUGGGAAUUGAAUUGAAUUGAUUAGGCUCUGUUUAAUUUCUGUUAUUUCUGUUAAACUAGGCUUGUGUCUAAUUGAUCAAAUACCUUCAUCAAUUGAACAUCUACUUGGCCUUGGUGAAUUUCAUAUAAAUUGUUGCAAAAGUCUCUUGGGUCUACCGAGUGUGAUAUGCAAUUUGAAGUCUCAUAAAAUCCUCUGGGGGCUAAGUUGCUCAAAACUUGACAAACUGCCAGGGGACAUGGAGUCUUUAGAGGAGCUUUAUUUAGACGGAAGUGGUAUGAGAGAGCUGCCGCUUGUUAUGAAAAACCUCAAACGUCUAAGCUUUGCUAGAUCAUCAACUUCAAGGGAUGGCAUUGGCAUUGGGUGGGGCCUUGACCGUUUAUCUGGAAUUAGAAAGAGUCAUCCUGACCCCUGGGGUUUGGUGUUGUCUUCUCUAAAUCAUUUAUGCUCUUUGACAAGUUUAAACCUAAGAGAUUGUAAUAUUGGUGAAGGUGUCAUCGCCACUUCUCUUCUUUAGAAUAUUUAACAUUUCAUGGAAACAAUUUCAUUAGCCUUCCCGUGAGCAUUACAUUCCUUUCUAAGCUUAAGUCCCUGGACUUGAGGCGGUGCCAAAGGCUUGAGCAAUUGCCAGAUCUUCCGUCAACGACAUUAUUUGUAUAUGCAGACGAUUGUACUACCUUAAAAAGGUUGUCCGAUCCAUCUAAGCUGAGCGAAGGAGCCAAAGUGUACCAUUUUGAGUUCACUUGUCUUAAUUGCUUCAGAUUGGUUGAAGAAGGCUGGAUUAAUAGAAUAUUUGCAAUGAUAAUGAUUCCUCUCCGUACCUUUUUGUAUGGCCUGGCAGUGAAAUUCCAGAUUGGUUUGAUAAUCGAAAUGUGGGAGAUUCAAUAACUGUGGAGUUGCUUCUGCAACUACCUCCACAAUCAUCAUGUAGCAGCGACUGGGCUGGGAUUGCUUUAUUUGUUGUUUUUGAAGAUGCUGAAUAUUUGCAAAAUCCAGCCGCCCUUGUUGGAUGUGUUUUCAAAAUUCAAUGAUUGCGGGGUCCAUCUGAGACUUUUGAAUUUGGGGAUCUUAGGUCACAACACCUUUGGGUUUUUGUUUGCCUUGCGAUCAUCCCAGCUUCAUGGAUGCCUCAAGCAGUCAUUGGUUUUCAUUCGAAGCACAUUAUUGUGCAUACAGAUCUUCCAACACACUCAAAACAAGCUCAAAUAUAAAGGAAUGUGGGGCCCGUUUGGUGUAUGAGAGAGAUUUGAAAAAAUUCUGCCGUUUGGUGUACGUUGACAAGGCUGUCCCAAUUGGUAGUAGUGGAAGUGGUAGCUCUGAUGACGAAAUUGAACCAGGAAGUGAUAGCUCUGAUGACAACCAUGAACCUGGAAUUGGUAGCUCUGAUGACGACAAUGAACCAGGAAGUUAUAGCUCUGAUGACGACGAUGAACCAAUCAGCAAAAUAUUCAAGAAAGUCUAAAUUAUUUUGUGCUUGGUUCAAUCAUUCAAUGAGAUGAAUCGGGAAAAACUUAUGAAGAUGGCCGGUGUGGUUCGCACUGGUGGAAAGGGUAGCAUGAGGAGAUUCAGAAAGGAGAAGGCUGUUCACAAGACAGCUACCACAGAUGACAAAAGGCUUCAGAGCACCAUUAAGAGAAUAGGGCAUGAACACUAUUCCUUCAAUCAAGUUAACAUAUUUAUGGAUGAUGUUGUCAUCCAGUCCAUAAACCCCAGAGCGGCAUGCAGGCCUAAUUUAACACCGUUUCACAGGUGACCCUCAAUGACAUAGUUGUCUUAUCUGAACUUGGCUUUCUGUUUUGUCGAGAGAGUGACUUGCUUGUGAUUGCAGGAGCAUCGACGUAGAGCUAAGAGUUAAGCGCUUAAAUCAAUUUAAAGCCGUUUGGUUGCUAAAUGCAAAAAAAAAUUUAUCAAAAAGAUUUUUUCAUUACUACUGCAUAAAGCACUACAUUACAUAAACAACCACAUAUGCCUUUAAUAGAGCUUUUUCAGUUCAAACAAAGAGUAUGCCACAAUUUGUUCUCUAUCUUUUAAAUUUGAAGUGAUGGUUUAACUUCUUAACCAUUUUGGUGUCUUCCAUAUUUUAAAUAUUGGUAGUAAUUUAGAAAAAUGGAUAGAAUAUUGGUGUUGUGUUCUUCUUUAGUGUAUUUACGUAAUGAUUUUAUUCCGAGGUUUGGAUGUCAAUAUGUGCCUUGAAUUGGAAAUUUGUUUUCAAUGUUGUAUUAUCUGGUAAAAGAACGCACAUAUAUACAUGUUUAGUUGUGUUUGUGCCUGGAUUUUCUGCUGCGCAUUGAGCCUUUUAUUUGGCCUUCUUUAGAUUUUUGUCAUAUUGGUUUAGAACUUGACAUAGGAUCUUCUCUGUUGUACAGUUGAAAGAUAUUCUUUCCAGUAUAUUAUCAGCCAUUUGGGUAAGUGUGCAUGUGAUCCUUAUAUUUUGUUCUUGCUUUUGUCCUCAAAAGAGGACUUGGAGAAUUCUUCAUGGCACCUUUAAUUAUUUUCAGGGCCAGAUAACUUAGACAAUUUGAUGAAACUGGCAGAGUAGUUCCAGAAGCAAGCGCCUGGUGCUGGUGCUGGUGCUGCUGGUGGAACCACUCCACAAGAGGAUGAUGAUGACGAGGUCCCUGAGCUUGUUUCUGGUGAGGCCUUUGAAGCUGCUGAGGAGGAGAAACAAGCUUCGUAGAGGGUUUCAAGGGGAUUUUGUGUUUCAUUUUAUACUUGGUUAAUUUUAUCUUUUUGGUUAAAAUCUAGUUUUACCGAUUAUUGUGUUUAAAGAUUACUUUCCUGUUUUUAGAUGAUUGUUAUAAACGCUUCAAGUAACGAAACCCUUUUAAGCCUUCUGAUUCUGGAGUUGUGGCAACGAAACCCUUCCACAAACGUAC